UGCAAAUUGUGCAAAUGAGGUUAUCAAUUAUAGUAUUUGCUCAGUGGAGUUUAGUAUCAUUUUGUUUGGUAUAGCCAAAUUGCAGAUUGGUUCUGCUGGAGGUCCUAUGUUCUGUAUGUAUAAUGGUUUUAGCUAUUUAUACUUUCUGCUUCCUUGAAGAAUUAAUCAUGGUUGGGAUCCCUGAUCAGCAGAAUAAUUGGAAAUUUGAAACUUCCAAUUUCAAAUAUUCGCAUCAGAUAUGAGGAUGUUGAGAGCAAUUUUGGUCAUCUGUUUGCAGCAGGCAUAACCUUGGAGAGACUUUCUGCCAUGACAAUUGAUGAUAGUGAAAAGGGACAUUAGAGCUGCUUUCAGAAGGUUAUACUUAUAUAAGAAUCAAGUUGCUAAACUGUAAUUGGACUGUUUUCAUUAAUUUAAACAUCUUAGACUUUUAUUUUGUUAUCGUCGUAAUUUAUAACGAUUAAUGUGUCUUAUAGGCGGAUCUCAAUUACACUUCAGUUCUAUAGUCAACCCCCCCCGGCCCCCGGCAACUGGCUCAAAGACAGGUUAGUCUGGUCUAAUUACUAUUGCAAAUAAUGCAAUAGAUUAGGGUCAUGUUGAUAUUAGAGUACUUACAUUGAGCAGACUGAUGUUUGGGGAAUUCAUGAGCGUUAAUUAAUACAAACAGGUUAAUUGAUACAAACCGCUAAAAUUCUCUGUGUGGCUGUUGUCUUUCUAGCAGAAGGUUUUAUUACUUCAAACAACAAUCAUAAAAAAGGCAAUUAUAUACUUUUGGCGCUGACGAAGCAGUUGUGUGACACCAAUGAAAUUCAUGCAUCAUCAGUUUUGAAGAUCCGAUAUGCAGAAAUGGAAUCCAUAAGAGUAUAUCUCUUACUUUCUCUUCUCCAAUGAGUGGUGUGAAUGAACAAAUAGCUUGGUUGUUUGAUU